GAUGAACGCUGGCGGCGUGCCUAAUACAUGCAAGUCGAGCGAACAGACGAGGAGCUUGCUCCUCUGACGUUAGCGGCGGACGGGUGAGUAACACGUGGAUAACCUACCUAUAAGACUGGGAUAACUUCGGGAAACCGGAGCUAAUACCGGAUAAUAUAUUGAACCGCAUGGUUCAAUAGUGAAAGACGGUUUUGCUGUCACUUAUAGAUGGAUCCGCGCCGCAUUAGCUAGUUGGUAAGGUAACGGCUUACCAAGGCAACGAUGCGUAGCCGACCUGAGAGGGUGAGCGGCCACACUGGAACUGUGACACGGUCCAGACUCCUACGGGAGGCAGCAGUAGGGAAUCUUCCGCAAUGGGCGAAAGCCUGACGGAGCAACGCCGCGUGAGUGAUGAAGGUCUUCGGAUCGUAAAACUCUGUUAUUAGGGAAGAACAAAUGUGUAAGUAACUAUGCACGUCUUGACGGUACCUAAUCAGAAAGCCACGGCUAACUACGUG
rnacentral:rRNA from 1 species